GCCCCGGUGGCGGAACUGGUAGACGCAACGGACUUAAAAUCCGUCGGCCUUACAGCCAUCCCGGUUCGAUUCCGGGCCGGGGCACCA
rnacentral:tRNA from 1 species